rnacentral:rRNA from 1 species
AUUGAACGCUGGCGGCAGGCCUAACACAUGCAAGUCGAGCGGAUGAGAGGAGCUUGCUCCUCGAUUCAGCGGCGGACGGGUGAGUCAUGCCUAGGAAUCUGCCCAGUAGUGGGGGACAACGUUUCGAAAGGAACGCUAAUACCGCAUACGUCCUACGGGAGAAAGUGGGGGAUCUUCGGACCUCACGCUAUUGGAUGAGCCUAGGUCGGAUUAGCUAGUUGGUAGAGUAAAGGCCUACCAAGGCGACGAGCCGUAACUGGUCUGAGAGGAUGAUCAGUCACACUGGAACUGAGACACGGUCCAGACUCCUACGGGAGGCAGCAGUGGGGAAUAUUGGACAAUGGGCGCAAGCCUGAUCCAGCCAUGCCGCGUGUGUGAAGAAGGCCCUCGGGUCGUAAAGCACUUUAAGUUGGGAGGAAGGGCUUACAGCGAAUACCUGUGAGUUUUGACGUUACCGACAGAAUAAGCACCGGCUAACUUCGUGCCAGCCGCCGCAGUAA